UACGGAGGAUCCAAGCGUUAUCCGGAUUCAUUGGGUUUAAAGGGUGCGCAGGCGGAAUGAUAAGUCAGAGGUGAAAUCCUACAGCUUAACUGUAGAACUGCCUUUGAUACUGUUAUUCUAGAGUACACAUGAAGUGGGCGGAAUGUAGCAUGUAGCGGUGAAAUGCUUAGAUAUGCUACAGAACACCGAUCGCGAAGGCAGCUCACUAAACUGUAACUGACGCUCAUGCACGAAAGCGUGGGGAU
rnacentral:rRNA from 1 species